rnacentral:rRNA from 1 species
GACGCUGGCGGCGUGCCUAACACAUGCAAGUCGAGCGAGGAGAUCCUUCGGGAUGAUCCUAGCGGCGGACGGGUGAGUAACACGUGGGCAACCUGCCUCAUAGAGAGGAAUAGCCUUCCGAAAGGGAGAUUAAUACCUCAUAACAUUGCAGUUUCGCAUGGAACAGCAAUUAAAGGAGUAAUCCGCUAUGAGAUGGGCCCGCGGCGCAUUAGCUAGUUGGUGAGGUAACGGCUCACCAAGGCGACGAUGCGUAGCCGACCUGAGAGGGUGAUCGGCCACAUUGGGACUGAGACACGGCCCAGACUCCUACGGGAGGCAGCAGUGGGGAAUAUUGCACAAUGGGGGAAACCCUGAUGCCAGCAACGCCGCGUGAGUGAUGACGGCCUUCGGGUUGUAAAGCUCUGUCUUCAGGGACGAUAAUGACGGUACCUGAGGAGGAAGCCACGGCUAACUACGUGCCAGCCGCCGC